AGAGCGGCGUACGGGUGCGGAACACGUGUGCACUGCUUUAUCUGGGGGAUAGCCUUUCGAAAGGAAGAUUUAUACCCCAUAAUAUGUUGAAUGGGCCAUCAUUCGACAUUUGAAAACUCCGGUGGAUAGAGAUUGGGCCACGCGCCAGAAUUAAAUAAUUUGGUGGAAGUAACGGUCAACCAAAGGUUCUUAACGGAUCUUUUAAGGGGGCCUGGAAGAAGGGUUGAUUCCCCCCCAACAACUUGGGUUAACUUGGAAGAACAACGGGAACCCAGGAACUUCCCUUAACGGGGAAGGGCAAGCAGUGGAGGGGAAAUUAUUUUGGGACCAAUUGGGGGUUGGAAGAAGCCUUGGAACCCAGCCAUUCCCCCCGGCGGUUGGAAAGGGAACCGGAACUUGGGCCCCUUAAUUGGGGGGGUUUUGGGUUGAAAACCUUUUUCCUUUUUUGGGUUAAUUUAAAGGGGGAUUUUAAAAACCUUUUAAAACCCCUUCCGGUUGGGAAGGGGGGUUUAAGCCUUGGAAAAAGGGGGUUUAACCUUUAAAUUUACGGAAAAAUUUUAAAAGCAACCCCCCGGGGGUUUUAAAAACUUUCCCCCGGGU
rnacentral:rRNA from 1 species